rnacentral:rRNA from 1 species
GGGGGGAUCUUAGGACCUCUCGCUACAGGGGCGGCCGAUGGCAGAUUAGCUAGUUGGUGGGGUAAAGGCCUACCAAGGCGACGAUCUGUAGCUGGUCUGAGAGGACGACCAGCCACACUGGGACUGAGACACGGCCCAGACUCCUACGGGAGGCAGCAGUGGGGAAUUUUGGACAAUGGGGGCAACCCUGAUCCAGCAAUGCCGCGUGUGUGAAGAAGGCCUUCGGGUUGUAAAGCACUUUUGUCCGGAAAGAAAACGCUCUGGUUAAUACCCGGGGCGGAUGACGGUACCGGAAGAAUAAGCACCGGCUAACUACGUGCCAGCAGCCGCGGUAAUACGUAGGGUGCAAGCGUUAAUCGGAAUUACUGGGCGUAAAGCGUGCGCAGGCGGUCCGCUAAGACAGAUGUGAAAUCCCCGGGCUUAACCUGGGAACUGCAUUUGUGACUGGC